rnacentral:rRNA from 1 species
GGGGAAUUAGGGUUCGAUUCCGGAGAGGGAGCCUGAGAAACGGCUACCACAUCUAAGGAAGGCAGCAGGCGCGCAAAUUACCCAAUCCUAAUACAGGGAGGUAGUGACAAGAAAUAACAAUACAGGACUUUUUGGUUUUGUAAUUGGAAUGAGUUAAGUAUAAACCCCUUUACAAGUAUCAAUUGGAGGGCAAGUCUGGUGCCAGCAGCCGCGGUAAUUCCAGCUCCAAUAGCGUAUAUUAAAGUUGUUGCAGUUAAAAAGCUCGUAGUUGGAUUUCUGUUAAUAAUUUAUAUAUAAUAUUUGAUUAAUAUUUAUAUAAUAUUAACAUAAUUCAUAUUACUAAAUUUAUUAGUAUAUGAAAUUUUACUUUGAGAAAAUUAGAGUGCUUAAAGCAGGCAUAUGCCUUGAAUACUCCAGCAUGGAAUAAUAUUAAAGAUUUUUAUCUUUCUUAUUGGUUCUAAGAUAAAAAUAAUGAUUAAUAGGGACAGUUGGGGGCAUUUGUAUUUAACAGUCAGAGGUGAAAUUCUUAGAUUUGUUAAAGACAAACUAAUGCGAAAGCAUUUGCCAAGGAUGUUUUCAUUAAUCAAGAACGAAAGUUAGGGGAUCGAAGACGAUCAGAUACCG